rnacentral:rRNA from 1 species
AUGGUUAGUGCCAAGAGACUUUCUCAGAUGGCAAAGAAGUGGCAGACAAUAGCGGCCAUCGGGAGGAAGAGGCUCACCCGGACCACAACAGCGGCGAAAGGAGCAGGUAAUGACGAGUGCUGCGCCACUUCACCGUCGGUGGCAAUGAAGGGCCACUGUGUGGUGUACACCGCCGACAGGGCGCGGUUCGAGGUGCCGCUGGCAUACCUCGGCACAUCGAUCUUCAGCGAGCUUCUGAGGAUGUCCCAGGAGGAGUUCCGCGGCGAUGACGGGAGGAUCAUGCUGCCCUGCGAUGCCGCAGUCAUGGAGUACGCCAUGUGCUUGCUCCAGAGAGAUGCCUCCAUGGAAGUCAUGAAGGCAUUCAUGAGCUCUGUCGCAAGGCCGCGCAGCUUUGAAGGUAGUGUGGUGGGCAUAGGGCUUAAUCAGCAACUGGCUGUUUGUUAG